rnacentral:rRNA from 1 species
AGAGUUUGAUCAUGGCUCAGAACGAACGCUGGCGGCGCGCCUAAUACAUGCAAGUCGAGCGAGAAGACGUAGCAAUACGUUUGUAAAGCGGCGAACGGGUGAGGAAUACAUGGGUAACCUACCCUCGAGUGGGGAAUAACUAGCCGAAAGGUUAGCUAAUACCGCAUACGGCUCCUGGUCUGCGGAUCGGGAGAGAAAGCGAUACCGUGGGUAUCGCGCUCUUGGAUGGGCUCAUGUCCUAUCAGCUUGUUGGUGAGGUAACGGCUCACCAAGGCUCCGACGGGUAGCUGGUCUGAGAGGACGAUCAGCCACACUGGCACUGCGACACGGGCCAGACUCCUACGGGAGGCAGCAGUAAGGAAUAUUGCGCAAUGGGCGACAGCCUGACGCAGCGACGCCGCGUGGGGGAUGAAGGUCUUCGGAUUGUAAACCCCUUUCGGCAGGGAAGAUGGAACGGGUAACCGUUCGGACGGUACCUGCAGAAGCAGCCACGGCUAACUUCGUGCCAGCAGCCGCGGUAAUACGAAGGUGGCAAGCGUUGUUCGGAUUUACUGGGCGUACAGGGAGCGUAGGCGGUUGGGUAAGCCCUUCGUGAAAUCUCCGGGCCUAACCCGGAAAGUGCGGAGGGGACUGCUCGGCUAGAGGAUGGGAGAGGAGCGCGGAAUUCCCGGUGUAGCGGUGAAAUGCGUAGAGAUCGGGAGGAAGGCCGGUGGCGAAGGCGGCGCUCUGGAACAUUUCUGACGCUGAGGCUCGAAAGCGUGGGGAGCAAACAGGAUUAGAUACCCUGGUAGUCCACGCCUUAAACGAUGGAUACUAAGUGUCGGCGGGUUACCGCCGGUGCCGCAGCUAACGCAUUAAGUAUCCCGCCUGGGAAGUACGGCCGCAAGGUUGAAACUCAAAUGAAUUGACGG